CAAGUAAAUGUGAAAAUGUUACUUAUUUUUGGCUGGUGAGUUAAGCAAAUCUACCAGCUACUUGCACAUUUUACCAGGAUUUGUCUGGUAAAUGGUACUAAUUUUAGACCCUGCUUACAUGUCUUUGUUAGAAUAUCAU